AGUGAACGCUGGCGGUAGGCCUAACACAUGCAAGUCGAACGGCAGCACAGUAAGAGCUUGCUCUUACGGGUGGCGAGUGGCGGACGGGUGAGGAAUACAUCGGAAUCUACUUUUUCGUGGGGGAUAACGUAGGGAAACUUCCGCUAAUACCGCAUACGACCUACGGGUGAAAGCAGGGGAUCUUCGGACCUUUCGCGAUUGAAUGAGCCGAUGUCGGAUUAGCUAGUUGGCGGGGUAAAGGCCCACCAAGGCGACGAUCCGUAGCUGGUCUGAGAGGAUGAUCAGCCACACUGGAACUGAGACACGGUCCAGACUCCUACGGGAGGCAGCAGUGGGGAAUAUUGGACAAUGGGCGCAAGCCUGAUCCAGCCAUACCGCGUGGGUGAAGAAGGCCUUCGGGUUGUAAAGCCCUUUUGUUGGGAAAGAAAAGCAGCAGGUUAAUACCCCGCUGUUCUGACGGUACCCAAAGAAUAAGCACCGGCUAACUUCGUG
rnacentral:rRNA from 1 species